GGGGGCGUGGCUCAGUGGAAGAGCCUCUGCUUUAUACACAGAAGGUCCCAGGUUCAAUCCCAGGCAUCUCCA